CCUACGGGGGGCAGCAGUGGGGGAUAUUGGACAAUGGGGGGAACCCUGAUCCAGCGACGCCGCGUGAGUGAAGAAGUAUUUCGGUAUGUAAAGCUCUGUCAGCAGGGAAGAAAGCAAUGACGGUACCUGACCAAGAAGCCCCGGCUAACUACGUGCCAGCAGCCGCGGUAAUACGUAGGGGGCAAGCGUUAUCCGGAAUUACUGGGGGUAAAGGGAGCGUAGACGGCUGUGCAAGUCUGGAGUGAAAGGCGGGGGCCCAACCCCCGGACUGCUCUGGAAACUGUAUGGCUGGAGUGCAGGGGAGGUAAGCGGAAUUCCUAGUGGAGCGGUGAAAUGCGUAGAUAUUAGGAGGAACACCAGUGGCGAAGGCGGCUUACUGGACUGUAACUGACGUUGAGGCUCGAAAGCGUGGGGAGCAAACAGGAUUAGAUACCCGUGUAGUC
rnacentral:rRNA from 1 species